rnacentral:rRNA from 1 species
ACGGAAGGCAGCAGUGGGGAAUAUUGGACAAUGGGGGGAACCCUGAUCCAGCGACGCCGCGUGAGUGAAGAAGUAUUUCGGUAUGUAAAGCUCUAUCAGCAGGGAAGAUGAUGACGGUACCUGACUAAGAAGCACCGGCUAAAUACGUGCCAGCAGCCGCGGUAAUACGUAUGGUGCAAGCGUUAUCCGGAUUUACUGGGUGUAAAGGGAGCGUAGGCGGCUAUGCAAGUCAGGUGUGAAAACCCGGGGCUCAACUCCGGGACUGCACUUGAAACUGCGAAGCUCGAGUACGGGAGAGGCAAGUGGAAUUCCUAGUGUAGCGGUGAAAUGCGUAGAUAUUAGGAGGAACACCGGUGGCGAAGGCGGCUUACUGGACUGUAACUGACGUUGAGGCUCGAAAGCGUGGGGAGCAAACAGGAUUAGAUACCCUGGUA